UUGAUCCAAGCCGAAAAGCAACCCAGCCUCACGAAUAUGGAUGAAUCCUAUCUUUGCUCUUCUUCCUAUAGUUUCCUGAUAACUUAAGGAGAUUGCAUCCCAUCUUUAACAUCUUCCCAACCCUUGCAUCGUUGCUGCCUAUCCCUAUUGGAACUGAGCAGUCUGCACGUGGCCGCCGGUGAACUGAUCCACAGCCGAAGCAGUUACUAAGGCUGACUUCACAAGGGUCUCAUGAAAAGUUGAAGAGAGAUGAUCUAUGUACCGAGUUUGUGCCUAUCAUCAGGCCAUGUAAACCUGGUGCUUUAGAUCGUGUGUCACUCCUCCGUCAAAUGGAAAACACUGGACCAAAGGGCACUCACAGUAUGACAAUCCCCGUUCAGAGGCCACGCCCAAUCCGCCCUCCCGAAGGUAGGUGUUUGAUUUGUUCCUUGGAUGAACACACAUCAUCUGAAUGCCCGUACAACGCUAAAGUCCCAAAGAACGCAACUGUUGGCAGGGGCUGUGACGUAUUUUGUAAGGUUUGUGAUGACUUGUUUUAUGGGCGCUGUUGUAACCAAGAUUCAGGGCGUGCGAAGCUCAAGUUUUGUAAUUUCUGUUCUAACUACGGUGAACACUAGAUGCAACAGUGCCCGCUCAACUCUCUUAAAGUGAUGCUCGAUUGUGGUCCUAGCUCUGGAUAUUUGAGGAAAAAAAGUGGUGUGUAAUCUGUGGUUUGCUUCUGCUUUGCUCCGAGGAGAAAAGUGAUGUGUUUUGUACUACGUGGGAUAGUUAAUGUUAUUAGUAGGUUGAAAUUCACUGGUUUGUUUCUAUUGAUAUAAUCAAAAUUUCCUGCUGGAUUUCCUCUCUCUGCAUCUGUACUAUAUUUUUAUGUAUGACAGAAGAAAGUGUUGUAUA